rnacentral:misc_RNA from 1 species
UAGUCGGUAACCAGGUAGCCGUAUCGGAAGGUGCGGCUGGAUCACCUCCUUUCUCGAGCUAAUACCGCGAAAGUUGAGCGUUCACGCUUAUCGGCUGUAAAUCAAGACAGACUCAGGGGUCUGUAGCUCAGUCGGUUAGAGCACCGUCUUGAUAAGGCGGGGGUCGUUGGUUCGAAUCCAACCAGACCCACCAAUUGUCUGGCGGUAGAAACCUGAGACGUCUCUGUAUGGGGGCAUAGCUCAGCUGGGAGAGCACCUGCUUUGCAAGCAGGGGGUCGUCGGUUCGAUCCCGUCUGCCUCCACCAAUCUUCAAUGACAAACGUUCGGGUCAGUUGACUCGAGUCUUUGUCAUUGGCGAUUGAGCCAGUCAGAGGAUAUUGAAAGAUAUCGGCUGUCGUUCUUUAACAAUCUAGAAGAAGUAGUAAUUUGGAUAGCGGAAGCGUCUAUUGAGAUGGGCGUGGAAACUAUCCGGGUUGUGAUUGUAUCGAUGUAUCUCAAGAUGAUUCGAACUUCAUGUUCGGCUCAAUUGGAAUACGGCACAAAUGCGAGAACUCAACCUGUAGCGGCCUGUCAAGCGAAAGCGAGACAGACUCGUUAUAGGGUCAAGCGAACAAGUGCAUGUGGUGGUGCCUUUUGGCACAA